CGUUGAAACACCGGUUCACGUACGAUCACUGAAGUUAAGCAACUUCGAGCCUGACAAGUACCUAGAUGUGUGACCGUUUCGGAAUACCAGGUGCC